UACGAAGGGGGCUAGCGUUGCUCGGAAUUACUGGGCGUAAAGCGUGCGCAGGCGGUUUUGUAAGCCAGAUGUGAAAUCCCCGGGCUUAACCUGGGAACUGCAUUUGGGACUGCAAGGCUCGAGUACGGCAGAGGGAGGUGGAAUUCCACGGUGUAGCAGUGAAAUGCGUAGAGAUGUGGAGGAACACCGAUGGCGAAGGCAGCCUCCUGGGCCAGUACUGACGCUCAUGCACGAAAGCGUGGGGAGCAAACAGG
rnacentral:rRNA from 1 species